UUGUCAUCUUCAAGUCGACCGAGUACCGUUAAUCGAAAUUAAAAAUUAGCCUCGACCAACUAUAGAUGUGCAUUCGAUAUAAACGGAGUAUGGCCGACUACAGUACCAAUAGGCAAUUGAUAUUAUUGGCCAAGAAAUAUCACGGUUUAAUGUGGUUGUUCGGCAUUUGCGACGAAACAGGAUGCAUGAGCAUAGAAAUAUAUCAAUAGUCUUCUAACCAAUAAAUGGCUACACCCACGUUACUACAAACUUGGAAGCAAUUAGAACCUCAGGUACUAAUUGGCCAGCAUUGUCCAACUAAUGAAUUCUCAGAGUGGACUAGACAAUCAAGAGCGGGAUGAAAUCCAGUAAAUGGACAGCAGCAGCAUCAGCAGCAGAGAGUUUGAAAUUUCGCAUAAAUUAAUACGCCCACCGCGGAAAAUAUUUACACACUUUCGCAAAAUAUCGUUAUACGAUGGGCCACAUUAAUCAAUGCUGAGAGCAAAACACGUCGAAAUGCGUCUAUAAAUCAAAAACAAAGCAACAGAAGGCCGAAACAAAAGGGUUGAAAACGGGGGCCAAACACUUUACCCCAGAGCCGCGCCUUUCCAACGAAGAGAAAACAAUAAUUGAUCGCAUGCGUGUCGCACAUUUUCCACCCGCUCUUGAGCUACGUUUAAUGACUAGGGAUUUUCAGUUUAAUCUAUAUACUCACUUGGUUUUCCCUUAAGGGUGACGGGUUUCGUCGCAGUGCUUGAAUCUUUAAGCCUGACUAGUGAGGGAAAAUUAAUUACUAGUUUUCUAAUUCGCAAUUUUACACCCUUGAAAGUACCCAAACAACAUGCAAAUUCAAUGAAACAAAUAAAAUGUACCAAAGUACAUACUGUCCAGCACUAAUUCUCCUGCUUUUUGAGGAGACACCACUCCAGUUAUCAAUUUCAUCCUGUACCUUCCAGGGUGGAAAGUUAAUGUGCCUUCCUCCGGUACAGUCCUCAAAACUUUUUCGGCAGCUCUUGAUCCUUCUGGUUAGUGUGACUUUAAGCACAUUUGUGUAAAUAAUGUUGUUUUGUCCGGAGUAUCCGAAACUGGCCCUUUCGCAACAAAGCGUUUGAUUUUCGAACUGGAGUUUGAACUCGAAGUGUAGUAAUAACUUCAACUAACAAUGAGUUCCUCUCUUGAGAGCACUGUGGUUUCGUUAUUGCCAAUUCUUCAACUUAUUCAUUCAGUGUAAUUUGUCGCUUGAUCUGAUUUGCUUGUGCCUUUGUCCUCUUUUUCCUCAACGGGACUAUUUGGUGUCUACAGUACUUCAGCCACUUUUUCAGUGGUCAAAUUCUUCGCUAGUUCAAGAGCAGAAUGAAAGUCAGCUUAUACAAAGAUGGAAGAAAACUACUCAAUUUUUCGGGCGGAAAUCGUUUAAUUCACUAAAAACAUAUUCAGUUUGACCUCAGCAACUUUUCGCACACUUUUUCCUGGAUCCUCAGAACGAAACAAUAGCGCAUUUUACGCAUCUAGGAUUUUCACGGCUACAUUGCUCGUCUCGAAAACACGCCGCAUCUUCUUCCAAAAUUACAGAUUAUUUCGCUUUUGCUCUCCGGCCAAAUAUUGGCCUUGUUGAAAGUCGAAUCUGUUUGCACAAAAAUCUCUGAAUUUUUUAUGAGUUUCAUUGGCUUUCUCCAACUGGCACUUGUCCUUAUCGUUUUGCCCUCGUUUAAGAAUCGACUGAAACUCUGCAGCCUUAAAGGCGAGAAAAGAUUGCAGAACAUCUGCUAUUAAACCAUAAUCAAAUAUCCACGUAUUUACUUUAUAUGAAACCUUAUUUUCGAUGAAAUAUUUGAACUUGAUUUAUUUUUACACAUUUGAGAAAGUCAAUUAAUCAAUUUCUCGCAGUUUUGCAAAGCGCAUUAAAACUCAAUUAAUCACCCCGGCUUGGAAUCGUUCCAUAUUGUUAAAAAUAACUACUGCAACAAAGAAGAACGUGCUUUAGGGUAACAUCUAGUCGAACAUUUCAAAUUUAUAUUACCUACAAAAUCUGAACUAGACUUUUUAUUAUUCCACCCUUAAGAGUCGAACGGUUCUGAAAAUAAUUAAGCAUAAUCGGUGUUUUCGAAGUAAAAACGAAACGGUUUCUGAUCUACAGAUUACAAGGUAACACCAGGAGUAAUUUUGGGAGAAGUUUUGCGUUCAGUUACGACCGGGCUGUAAUUAGGAAAUAAUUGUUUUUCAGUGGUUUAGGCGACAUUGCGUGUGCAUGUUUUCCGAAAGUUACAAAACACUUUUAUAACGAAAACAACACCUUAAUGGAUCAAACAGGAAGAACUGCUGCCUGUGCCUUGCCCCAACAUUUAAUAGUGUUUUGCGUAUAUAUUAUUUUAAAUUUAUUUUAUAUUUAGUCUCAACCCACUCCAAAAUCUGAAAGAAGAUAAAGAUAUUUUGUGGCCAGUUAACAAAAUAUUCGAUUGUCUUCAAAGUAAGUUCUUUUAACAGUUAUUUGGACAAUUCAUUAGAGUGUGUGUGGCUGAUAGAUCGAUCUGACAAGUUUACGAGUUGACUCCGGAAAAAUACAAAUAUUUUUGCCUCCUACAGCCCAUCGAGAUGGGCCAUUAAAGAUGGAAAAAAUGCAAAAAUUCCGGUUCUACCACUAUAAAAAUUAAGUGGUUAUAACUUGGACAAAGUAAUGUUUCGAAUCUUCGGAUUUCGCAUGUGGGCGUGCACAGUUAGGUAUUUCAGGUUUGUACAACUGCCGUAAAUCCGAUAUACAGUUGUGAAGGCUUUUAAACAUCGGCCAAUACUUUGUAAUGAUCGAUUUUAAGACGGAAUUUUUAAUGUUUUCUCAAAUUUAUGGUCAAGUUAAGCAUAUAUUGCUACUUUGUACAGUUGUUACAUUUUAACAGUCAGUAUUUACCAGCAAAACGUAUUGCGGAUUGGAUGUCUGAAAAAUGUUUGUUGACGCCCUACCGCCGUGAAUUAAAUCGGAUAGCGAAAUUAAUCAAAAUUUUUCGUUUUCAAAGUUUGACCUAAAAAUCGCGAGGACACAUUUUCCGCUCCAAAUAAAACGCUGAUGUUUUACCAUCCAAAUAAGCCUCGCGAAGGAAUGUGGGAAGGUAAACCGAGACCCGAAAAGAAAAAUGUGCGCCGCUUUCCUUGCAAUGCUUCCACUUAUUAAAUUUAAUAUCAGUCAGUGGUCCUUGGCUCGGAAUCUCGCUGGAAAUAUGGAAAUUCUGCAGAGCGAAACAGGACGAGAAAUUCAUCUACAGCACAUCUUUUAUACGUUCUCAAAGCCACUGGGCUCUGAUGUUCAAAGAUCCGGGAUUUUUUUGUCAAUUUCCUGGCAUUAACAAAUCAACUCGAAUCGAGCCAAAUUCUUGUUAAGAGGUAUCCACAAAAUGAGGAAUAUUUGCUUUAGCAAGCUCCUGGAACAGCUAUUAAUAAUCCAGGAGCCAAUUUGGAGCUAAUUUCCUUUCGUGGGCAGUCGGCGUGUUGGUUAUGUGAAUUUCUCGUCCGACCAUCGGAGAUAUUACGUGGACUGAAAUUGAAUAAUUUUCAUCGGAGCAGGAAAAUCACUGUUCGGAGUCAAGGAAUAACAUUGAGAAAAUAUUUGAGCUAAUAAAAGCGUUUGAGGCUACGACAGGUUGAGAGGCAUAGAGGUUUGUCUAGGGCUGUUCACUCAGUCAAAGGCCUCGGUUAGAUCUAAUCCAACAAAGCGGCAAAUAUUAGUGUACACGGCUAAUCAGAUAAGUUGUUUGUGUAAAUUAAAUAUACCAAAUACAUCGAGUACGAUCUCGUGCGGGAAAUCCAAAUGGACGCGAUUUAUGUAUCCGAAACAUCGUCCAUUCCCGAAUUAGUAGCGGCCAUAAUUAAUAUUUAGUGCCAUAAAUGAUCAUUCGUGUUUGCUUUGCUUUAAAUGUGAACGAUAAAUAAAGAUAUUUAAUUAAAA